GACAGUUUGGUCCCUAUCUACCGUGGGCGCUGGAAGUUUGAGAGGACCUGCUCCUAGUACGAGAGGACCGGAGUGGACGUAGCUCUGGUGUACCGGUUGUGACGCCAGUCGCAUUGCCGGGUAGCUAACUACGGAAGAGAUAAGCGCUGAAAGCAUCUAAGCGCGAAACUCGCCUCAAGAUGAGACUUCCCGGAGGUUUAACCUCCCUAAAGGGUCGUUGCAGACUACAACGUUGAUAGGUCGGGUGUGCAAGCGUAGCAAUGCGUUCAGCUAACCGAUACUAAUUGCCCGUGCGGCUUGAUCCUAUAGCCUU
rnacentral:rRNA from 1 species